rnacentral:lncRNA from 1 species
AGAAACAGGAAUUAUUUUGAUUGAAUUACUGGAGCGGAGUAGACCUUGGCUCUGGCGUGAAGGUGGAGAGAUUUUCAUGAUCUUUAUGAUCUCCAGUCAACACACAGUACCCACCGUAUACGGAGCAUUUGGAUUAAAGAAACCGAAUCAUCCCUUAUUCUGUUUUAAGGUAAAUACACCCACUUUUAACUCUGAUCAAUUUUUUUUGUCUUUUCUGUUUUAUGGGAAGCGCUAUGUUUGAUGAGAUCUCUAAUAACAGUUUGGAAUUUUUAGAUGAUUCAAUUAUGUGGUGCUCUUUGAUUCAACUUUAACCAUGCCAAGAAUUUACAGGAGAAAAGGAUGGACUUAUCUUGUUAUAGCUUUUUAAGAACUCGAUAUCUCAACUGUUUCUAUGUUUGAAUCCAUAGAGUGGUAACACCUUCAACGAAAGCCUAUUUCAGUCUAAGGCGCGGGUUUGGAUCAAAACCCGAUGUUGUAGGUUCAAUAACCUAUGGAUCUAUGGGCUUCAGAUGGAUAGGGAAAGGGAAGAUAAGAAAUAGGGACACUCAUGAAUUUAUAAAGAGUGGUGAACUAUUGAGAUUGUUUCAGAUUUACUGAAAAUGAUUGUUAAAUU